rnacentral:rRNA from 1 species
CCUACGGGGGGCAGCAGUGGGGAAUAUUGCACAAUGGGGGAAACCCUGAUGCAGCGACGCCGCGUGAGCGAUGAAGUAUUUCGGUAUGUAAAGCUCUCUCAGCAGGGAAGAAAAUGACGGUACCUGACUAAGAAGCCCCGGCUAACUACGUGCCAGCAGCCGCGGUAAUACGUAGGGGGCAAGCGUUAUCCGGAUUUACUGGGUGUAAAGGGAGCGUAGACGGCGAUGCAAGCCAGCUGUGAAAGCCCGGGGCUCAACCCCGGGACUGCAUUUGGAACUGUAUAGCUAGAGUGUCGGGGCGGCAG